GUGGAUUAGAUACCCUGGUAGUCCACGCCGUAAACGAUGAGUACUAGGUGUCGGGGUUUAAAGACUUCGGUGCCGCAGUUAACGCAUUAAGUACUCCGCCUGGGGAGUACGCACGCAAGUGUGAAACUCAAAGGAAUUGACGGGGACCCGCACAAGCAGCGGAGCAUGUGGUUUAAUUCGAAGCAACGCGAAGAACCUUACCAGAACUUGACAUCCCUCUGACCGGUCCUUAAUCGGGCCUUCUCUUCGGAGCAGAGGAGACAGGUGGUGCACGGCCGUCGACAGCU
rnacentral:rRNA from 1 species